rnacentral:tRNA from 4 species
AUCGUAUAAGGCAAAUGGUUAGCCAACUGACCUUCAAUCAGCUGCUGGCGGGUUCGAUUCCCGCAUACGAUACCA